rnacentral:rRNA from 1 species
UGGCGGACGGGCGAGUAACGCGUGGGUAACCUGCCUCAUACAGGGGGAUAACAGUUGGAAACGGCUGCUAAUACCGCAUAAGCGCACAGUACCGCAUGGUACGGUGUGAAAAACUCCGGUGGUAUGAGAUGGACCCGCGUCUGAUUAGGUAGUUGGUGGGGUAACGGCCUACCAAGCCGACGAUCAGUAGCCGACCUGAGAGGGUGACCGGCCACAUUGGGACUGAGACACGGCCCAAACUCCUACGGGAGGCAGCAUG